GGGAGGGAAGGGAGAAGGAAAAAAAAUGGGGGGGAGUCCCUAACCUGAAAUUCCAGCACUAACAAAUUAUUUGAUUUUAGACAAUGGUCUCUUUCUGUGUCCCCUUUAAACUCUAAGUCCCCACAAAGGAACAGCAUAAUGAGUGUUCCGUUCCCUUAGAAGAUUUGUGUGGAAGAGAAGUCACCAGAAAGCUGAGGGGAAAAGAUAGGGCAAGGUCCCCAAACCUUUUCUGGAAAGGGUUGUGUGGUCUCUGGCCCACUAUUCACUCUCUGCCAUCCCAGCAUGAAAACAACCACAGACAAUUCACAAAUAAAUGAGUGUGGCAGUGUUACAACAAGUCUUCAGUUACAGACACUGAAAUCAAUUUCACGUGAUUUUCACAUGUCAGGAAAUACUAUGUUUCUAAUUUUUUUCCAACCAGCUCGGUGCUCUUUUUUCCAACCAUUAAACAUGUAAAAGCAAUUCAGUGAUCUUUGAUUUUUCCCAAUAUUGAACCCAGACAAGGGGCUGUAGAGACCAAGAAUCUUAUUUGUACAUGAAGCCUCCCGGUAGCAGGCCUCAGAGAGAAUGGAUUGUAACUGUUUCUUAUCAGACUUAAUAAGGUGCCAGAGGCCAGGUGCAGUGGCUUGUGCCUGUAAUCCCAGCACUUUGGGAGGACGAGGCGGGCGGAUCACGAGGUCAAGAGAUCGAGGCCAUCCUGGCCAACAUGGUGAAAACCCAUCUCUACUAAGAAUACAAAACUGAGCUGAGCAUGAUGGCACACACCUGUAGUCCCAGCUACUCAGGAGGCUGAGGCAGGAGAAUCGCUUGAACCCAGGAGGUGGAGGUUGCAGUGAGCCAAGAUCGCACCACUGCACUCCAGCCUGGCGAAAGAGCCAGACUCCAUCUCAAAAAAAAAAAAAAAAAAUGGUGCCAGACUCUUAGUUAAUUCUCUCCUGGAUCAGGGAAAAGACCUGGAAAGGGAAGGGGAUUCUCUACAGAAUGUAGAUUUUCCCCACAAGAGACAGCUUUGCAGGGCUGUUUCAAAAUAUGUCAAAGAAAUAUAUUUUAUGGUAAAAUAAUUCAAUUUCUUUUGGGGCCUGCUAUCUGUCAUGUGACGCUAUGCUAGAGUCACAUUGGAAUGUGAUACCUUACUGCUCCAAAAAGUCUGUUUUGUCAGUCUUAAGAUCUGUUUUAAUGGUUAAUGCAGGUCAGCUGUGUCGGAAUUUCAAAGGGCUGAGAGUAUAAUGAGGUAUGCCCGCUUCCAUCAAGAUCUGAAAUAGAUUUUCAGGUUUACUUUGGAAAGCCUUUUGCCAAGGGCUGGUGGGGGAGGGUGGUCCAUCAGUCAGUUGGGGGGCUUAGAAUUUUAUUUUUGGUUUAUACCAAGGAUAAGGGAAUGGGCAGUUCUGACCUUUCAUCCUUACGUUGUGUGUCCAAAGAGGAAAUAAAGCCCCUUUUUUCAGCGUGAUUUGCAGAAAUCCAGGUAGGUCCUCCAGUUGGUGCAGCGUGGGUCCUGCACACAUCCAGACCAUCGCCAUCUCCAGGGGGCAGCUAUAGCAGCUGACCCAAGUCACAGUGAUGUGGCCAGUCUCAGGGCCAUGACAGGUUAGGGAGGCUGAGCCCCCCAGCUUCAGUGAGUGAGUGUAUCCCAUAAAAGGGGAUGCCAUUGUAGGCUGAACAAAACAAAUGCCCCGCACAGCACCCCAUCCCUCCCGCUGUAAUUCUGAAGGACAUGACUGCCCUCCAAAUGAAGAAUCCGCAAGUGGAAUGAGCACAUCUCCACUACUCUAAGAACAGCCAAAAUAGGCAGUGAAGCUCAGCUUUCAGGAAGCGUUGCUUUCAUUCAGAGUGGGUGUGCUGAUGGAGACGGGAGAAAACUCAAAAGGGGGUGGUGGUUAUUGUCAAAAACAAAAGGCAUUUUAAAAACUCUGGAUAUGCUCUUUCUACCCCUAGGCCUUAAAUGGCCUUUCCUGUCUUCUUCAUCUGGGAAUCUCCUAUGCAUCUGUUAAGACACUGCUCAAGGCCUGGUGCAGUGGCUCACACCUGUAAUCCCAGCACUCUGGGAGGCCAAGGUGGGCAGAUCACCUGAGGUCAGGAGUUCAAGACCAGCCUGGCCAACAUGGUGAAACCCCAUCUCUACUAAAAAUAUACAAAAAUUAGCUGGGUGUGGUGGUGGGCACCUGUAAUCCCAGCUACUCGGGAGGCUGAGGCAGGAGAAUCACUUGAGCCUGGAAUGUCAAGGUUGCAGUGAGCCAAGAUCACACCACUGCACUCCAGCAUGGGUGAUAGAGCAAGACUCCAUCUCAAAAAAAAAAAAAAAAAAAAAAAGACAUUGCUCAACCAUCGCCUCCUCCGUGAAGCCUGCCUUGGUUCUCCAAGACAAAGUUGGCAUCUCAUUGCUGCUCCAGAUUCCAAGAGUAGUUUGCAUUUACUUCACUGGUGUUUGUUUUUUGUUUGUUUGUUUGUUUGUUUGAGACAGGGUCUCACUCUGUGAGUGAGGCUGGAGUGCAGUGGCACCAUCUCAGCUCACUGAAACCUCCACCUCCUGGAUUCAAGUAAUCCUCAUGCCUCAGCCUCCUGAGUAGCUGGGGUUACAGGCGCACACCACCACACUCGACUAAUUUUUGUAUUUUUAGUAGAGAUGGAGUUUCGCCAUGUUGGCCAGGCUGGUCUCGAACACCUGACUUCAAGUGAUCUGCCCAUCUCAGCCUCCCAGAGUGCUGGGAUUACAGGCAGAGCCGCCAUGCCUGGCCUCUUCACUGGUUUUUAAUCUCUGGCUCAUGGGUACUGCCUCUCUCCUGGGUACUUCACUAUGUGAAGUUUUUCUUCCAGCAUCCCAAGCAUAAACCUAACCCUCAGCAGGUGUUCCUGACCAGUUUGGUGGGUGGUUAAACUACACAGCAAGAUGUAUAUUUCCUGUGAGAGAUGGUAUUAUUUACCACGUGGUUUUCUCCUAAUAGAACCCACCUCCCAUAAUAGAGGCUGUAAAUUCCACCAACUUCUGCUCCCAGCCUCCCUUACAAAUGGAGGUUGACAAGGGACUCAUUUAUGGUGAAUAAGACUUAAGAAGUCUCCAAGGGGCUUUUCCCCCUCCUUGAUAUAAAGAGCACCUCAAAAGAGAGAAACUCUCUUGCCUGUCCUCUUCCUUCCUGUCGCUGAACACAACUGUGAGAGACUGUGAUGCCUGGAGCUGCAGCAGUGAUCUUGAGAUGAUGAGGCAAUAGCUGUGGUGGUCAUCUUGAGACCGUGAGGCAACAGCUGUGGCAGCCAUCUUGAGACCAUGAGGCAACAGCCUGGAGACAAAAGCCAACAUGUUCAAAAUGAUGCAGUAGAAAUGUUGGAAGUGGGUCUUUGAUUAUUCAUCCUUAGAUUCAAGGCUGGGAAGUCCAAGAUCAAGGUGCUGGCAUUUUGCCAGGGCCUUCUUGCUGUGUCACCACAUCCAUGGCUGAAGGUAGAAGGGUCAAGAGAGAGUGAGAAGCUGGGCACGGUGGUUCACGCCUGUAAUCCCAGCACUUUGGGAGGCCAAGACAGAGUCUCGCGCUGUCGCCCAGGCUGGAGUGCAGUGGCGCAAUCUCAGCUAGCUGCAGGCUCCGCCUCCCAAGUUCAUGUCAUUCUCCUGCCUCAGCCUCCCAAGUAGCUGGGACUACAGGGCCUGCCACCACGCCCGGCUAAUUUUUUGUAUUUUUAGUAGAGACGGGGUUUCACUGUGUUAGCCAGGAUGGUCUCGAUCUCCUGACCUCGUGAUCCACCCACCUCGGCCACCUAAAGUGCUGGGAUUACAGGCAUGAGCCACCGCGCCUGGCCUGUGAUUUUUUUUUUUUUUUUUACAAAGAUGCGCUGUCUUUGUUCCCCCAGAAAUGUGUUGUUUCCCUGACAGUCAGAUGCAUCCCUGCCUGCCUUAAACAAAGGUCUGUGAUCACUUUCUUUAACAUCAAGGCCAGAGUUCCUGAAAUCAAUGAGAAAUUCUAAACAUACCAGGAUGCCUUCCAAACAGGUGGGCUUUUUGUUCUCCAGAAAAUGCAAUGAAUUUAAAACAUUGUACCAAACAUCUUCAAAACCUAGUCAUGAAAGUAACAUGCUUUAUUACAUUAAAUGAAAUUAAAUCAGUAGAGGACAAAUGCACUAAGGAGGCUAAUGGCCAACAUGAUUAGUCACUGCUAACUUGCAUGAAAUCAAUAGUAACCAAGAGGAGUUCAUCAGUUUGCACUGAAACAAAACUUGAGAGAAGAAUCCAGCAUACUGGAAGAACAACGAAAAAGAUGAAAUAAUCUUUUAGCUGGGAAAAAUAUGUUGUUUUGAAUAUUUUGAGUAUAUUUUAACUUCAACGAUAAGCUUAAUUCCAAUUUCAGGAUAUUAUUUAAGGAAAAGCUUAGAAGUGUACUCCACAAAGAAUUAAGAAACACAUGUCCUCAUAACUUUUAUUAUGUUCUUUUGAUUAAAAUAAUACAUAUUCAUUCCUAUAUGCUCCUUCAUAUUACAAAUGAUUUUUACAUCAUGAAGAUGAUGCUAUUCUGUGUUCUGUAUUCUGUUUCAAACUUAGAAUUAUACUUCAUAAACAUCUUCUGUGACUAAAACUUCUCCAAAAACUUUCACUGGCUGCUGGCGUUCCACUAAAAGUGUCAUCAAUGACCCUAUCAAAGGAUAUUUUUCUGUUAUCCUCCCAGAAUUCACUUCUCAUUGGCAUCUGGUCCUGUCAAUUCUUCUUUUUUUUUUUUUUUUUGAGAUGGAGUCUUGCUCUGUCACCCAGGCUUGGAGUGCAGUGGUGCGAUCUCACCUCACUGCAACCUCCGCCUCCCAGGCUUAAGCGAUUCUCCUUCCUCAGCCUCCCAAGUAGCUGGGACUAGAGGUGUGUGCCACCACCUCCAGCUAAUUUUUUGUAUUCUUAGCAGAGACAAGGUUUCACCAUGUUAGCUAGGCCAGGCUCAAACUCCUGGCCUCAAGUGAUCGCCUGCCUCAGCCUCUCAAUGUGCUGGGAUAACAGAUAUGAGCCACCGUGCCUGGCUGAUUAGUCUUUUCUUGAUCCACUCUUCCCACUGGAUUUCUGUGACUCCACGGCCUGGUGUCUCUCCUAAAACUGUCUUUGCAAAAAAUUAUAACGGUAAGGAAAUGACGACAGUGAAAGAAUGGAUCUCACCAAUCCCCAUCUUGCCUUCAACAUCCAAACUGCCUUUAAUCAUAUCUGGGCUUGGGCCAAGCAAACUUUGGGAGACAUUUAUUUUAUAGUUUAAAUGAUAAUAUCCCUUCUCCAAAACUCAACCACCUUCGUAAAGCUAAUGAGAGACCACCAGGCGAGGAGGAUGAGAAGAGCCUGAAUUCUGCUGAGAUGUAGACUGAACGAUUACCAGCCAUUAUUCCAGAGGUCACAAGAUUUGCAACCCCCCAAUAACUCCUACAGAUUACGUCACUAUUACAGAAACUAAGAUUGGCCUUUUGAGAUAAGGUUUCAGGUUUGUGCAUUUCUGACAACCAACGGCUCCACUUGGACCCACCAAACUCCCUCUGGCCCCACCCAGAAGUGAACUCAGCAGACAAGGACCAUUUUUCACAACCCUAUGAUUGCAUCCCCAACCAAUUAGCAGCACCCCUACCCUAGCCCCCUGCCCACCAAAUUAUCAUUAUCUCUGAAUUUUCAGGGAGAUCAAGUUGAGUAAUAAUAAAACUCCAGUCUCUCAUUCAGCUGGCUGUAUGUGAAGUAAGCUCUUUCUCUAUUGCAAUUGCCCUGUCUUGGUAAGUCAGCUCUCUCUGGACAGCCAGCAAAAUGAACUCAUUGCACACGGUUACAGUCUCAUCUCUACCGGCUGUAGACUUGCCUCCUCUGUUGGAGCUCAUCAAGGCUGGGUCUCUCCUGUUCUCAUUUUAUUCUCUCUCCUUAGGUGAUCUCAGCCCUCCUCCAGGCUUCGAUUAUAACUUACAGGAUUGUGAUUCACACAUUUCAGUUUCUACCACAGGCCCCUCCAGACAUGUCCAUCUGCCUGCUGUGUUGACUUUUCCCUUUGGAGUCUUGAGGCAGCUACAAGCUUACUGACCAGAAAUGAACUCAAGCUCUCCCCGAAGCCUGGUCCUCUUCCAGGAUCAGCCAGCCUGGAAGAUGGCACUGUCAUCCACCCUGUUCUCAGGCCUGCCACCCAGGAGUCAACCUUAGCCCCAUCUAAUUGUCAGAGGCAUCUGAACCAGAGCAACUCCAUCUUGAGUAGGGGAUGGGUAAAAUGAGGCUGAGACCUGCUGGGCUGCAUUCCCAGACAGCCAAGGCAUUAGCCACAGGAUAAGAUAGGUGGUCGGUACAAGACACAGGUCAUAAAGACCUUGCUGAUAAAACAGUUUGCAGUAAAGAAGCCAGCCAAAACCCACUAAAACCGAGAUGGCAACGAGAGGGACCUCUGCUCGUCCUCACUGCUACCCUCCCACCAGCACCAUGACAGUUUACAAAUGCCAUGGCAAUGUCAGAAAGUUACCCUAUAGGGUCUAAAAAGGGGAGGCAUGAAUAAUCUACCCCUUGUUUAGCAUAUCAUCAAGAAAUAACCAUAAAAAUAGGCAACCAGCAGCCCUCAGGGAUGCUCUGUCUAUGGAGUAGUCAUUCUUUUGUUCCUUUACUCUCUUAAUAAACUUGCUUUCACUUUA